rnacentral:lncRNA from 1 species
GGAGACACAGAAUCGGAAACAGGCUCCAGGCUCUGAGCCAUCAGCCCAGAGCCCAACGCGGGGCUCGAACUCAUGGACCGCAAGAUCGUGACCUGGCUGAAGUCGGACGCUUAACCGACUGCGCCACCCAGGCGCCCCUACAUGCAGUUCUUUUAAAACUUCUCUUGUUCCUUGUAUUCUGCUAUUUUCCUGGAGACCAUUUGAUCUGCACUAUUCCUCACCAGCAUAGGAAGUGUUCUUAUGGUAGCUGAUCUCUCCUAAACCUGUGAAAGCUUCUUGUGCUGAGGAUUAUUAGGUUCAAAUUCCCAUUUUUGCUAGGUAAAAAAAAAAUGGCUUGAAUAUCAGAAAUGUCACAUGGUUGAAGCUUUAUUUGCUGUGGCAAGAAAUUCAUAAAGAAUUGAAAGAAUUGCCUAACAGGUGUAAACAGCCUGCUCUUUGCGUAUUUUUUUUAAUGUUUAUUUAUUUUUGAAGGAGAGAGAGACGGAGCAUAAGCAGGGGAAGAGCAGAGAGAGAGGGAGACAUAGGAUCCGAAGCAGGCUCCAGGCUCUGAGAGCCCAACAUGGGGCUCAAACUCACAAACCAUGAGAUCAUGACCUGAGCUGAAGUUGGAUGCUCAACCGACUGAUCCACCCAGGCGCCCCAACAGCCUGAUCUUUGUCGUCUUAUUUUCUGUUCUCCGACAAAGGAAAAAGCUGGUGUUCCACGCUCCCAUCAUCCCUGGCACUGUCACUACCCAGUGGAGAAAGGUAGAACUGCCACCACAACUUCAUGUCCAAGUUCUCUCUGCUGAUUCUUUACAACUGGUAGGUUUGUACAACUCUCUGAUGAUCUGGUAUUGGUAUUCAAAAGUAAUGACAACAGCAGAAAGAUCCAUGGUGAAAGUAGUAGAAGGAAAACAUUUUCUACAUCUCUUCCUCUCUUUUAUGUAGAGGAUAUUUAUAGGCUAAGAAAUUGCAAAGAGGAUAUAUAUUCAAACUAUCUUUAAAGUAACAUUUACAGAUCCAUUUCAAUUUAAUUUAUUCCUUUUACGUUAGCUUUUAAGCAAUGGCAUCAGUAGAGUGUCAGUAGAUUGCUGCCCUAGACACCCGGGACCGUCAUUCACUUACCAUAUUUGAAUGUCAAACUCUGUUCUGGGUGGGUGCUGGGAAAUUCAGUAGUGAACAGUACAGAUGAAGUUCCCUCCUCAUGCGAUCAAACAAAUGAUAAAUACAUAAUCCAAUAAAUUCAACAAGAAAAUAUCA